UACGUAGGUGGCAAGCGUUGUCCGGAUUUACUGGGCGUAAAGAGCGCGCAGGCGGCCAAGUCAGUCGAAUGUGAAAGCCCCCGGCUUAACUGGGGAGGGUCAUUCGAUACUGCUCGGCUCGAAGACAGGAGAGGGAAGCGGAAUUCCCGGUGUAGUGGUGAAAUGCGUAAGAUAGUCGGGGAGGAACACCAGUGGCGGAAGGGCUGCUUUCGUCGGC
rnacentral:rRNA from 1 species